rnacentral:rRNA from 1 species
AUUGAACGCUGGCGGCAGGCCUAACACAUGCAAGUCGAACGGUAACAGGAAACAGCUUGCUGUUUCGCUGACGAGUGGCGGACGGGUGAGUAAUGUCUGGGAAACUGCCUGAUGGAGGGGGAUAACUACUGGAAACGGUAGCUAAUACCGCAUAACGUCGCAAGACCAAAGAGGGGGACCUUCGGGCCUCUUGCCAUCGGAUGUUCCCAGAUGGGAUUAGCUAGUAGGUGGGGUAACGGCUCACCUAGGCGACGAUCCCUAGCUGGUCUGAGAGGAUGACUGGCCACACUGGAAAGAAGACACGGGCCAGAAGCCGAAGGGAGGCAGCAGGAGGGAAUAUUGAGCAAUGGGCGAAAGACUGAAGGAGCAAAGCCGCGUGAGAGAUGAAGGACUGCGGAUCGUAAAACCCUGUGAUGAGGGAAGAACAAAAGUAGAAGAAAACAGGCACGCCGUGACGGUACCCAAGCAGAAAGCACCGGCUAACUACGUG